AUUGAACGCUGGCGGCAGGCCUAACACAUGCAAGUCGAGCGGAUGAAGGGAGCUUGCUCCUGGAUUCAGCGGCGGACGGGUGAGUAAUGCCUAGGAAUCUGCCUGGUAGUGGGGGAUAACGUCCGGAAACGGGCGCUAAUACCGCAUACGUCCUGAGGGAGAAAGUGGGGGAUCUUCGGACCUCACGCUAUCAGAGGAUGCUAGGUCGGAUUAGCUAGUUGGUGGGGUAAAGGCCUACCAAGGCGACGAUCCGUAACUGGUCUGAGAGGAUGAUCAGUCACACUGGAACUGAGACACGGUCCAGACUCCUACGGGAGGCAGCAGUGGGGAAUAUUGGACAAUGGGCGAAAGCCUGAUCCAGCCAUGCCGCGUGUGUGAAGAAGGUCUUCGGAUUGUAAAGCACUUUAAGUUGGGAGGAAGGGCAGUAAGUUAAUACCUUGCUGUUUUGACGUUACCAACAGAAUAAGCACCGGCUAACUUCGUG
rnacentral:rRNA from 1 species